CCUACGGGUGGCAGCAGUGAGGAAUCUUGGUCAAUGGCCGGGAGGCUGCACCAGCCAAGUCGCGUGAGGGAAGACGGCCCUACGGGUUGUAAACCUCUUUUGUCAGGGAGCAAGGUGCAGGUCGGGACCUUCUGUGAGAUUACCUGAAGACAAAGCAUCGGCUAACUCCGUGCCAGCAGCCGCGGUAAUACGGAGGAUGCGAGCGUUAUCCGGAUUUAUUGGGUUUAAAGGGUGCGCAGGCGGAGGGACAAGUCAGCGGUAAAAUCGCGGGGCUCAACCCCGCUCCGCCGGUGAAACUGUGUCCCUUGAGUGCGCGAAGGGUAGGCGGAAUGAGUGGUGUAGCGGUGAAAUGCAUAGAUAUCACGCAGAACUCCGAUCGCGAAGGCAGCCUUCCGGCGCCCUACUGACGCUGAGGCACGAAAGUGCGGGGAUCGAACAGGAUUAGAUACCCGGGUAGUC
rnacentral:rRNA from 1 species